rnacentral:rRNA from 1 species
GACGAACCGUACGAACGUUAUUCGGAAUCACUGGGCUUAAAGGGUGCGUAGGCGGCGCGACAAGUUGGGUGUGAAAUCCCUCGGCUCAACCGAGGAACUGCGCCCAAAACUGUCGUGCUCGAGGGAGACAGAGGUGAGCGGAACUUAGGGUGGAGCGGUGAAAUGCGUUGAUAUCCUAAGGAACACCGGUGGCGAAAGCGGCUCACUGGGUCUCUUCUGACGCUGGGGCACGAAAGCUAGGGUAGCGAACGGG